CCCGGAAGUCUUUCUUUUUCCAUAACUGAUCAAUAAGAGUGCCCUAAUGAAUCAAUGAUUAGUCAUUUCCUUAGACAAUAUGUAGCAUCAUCACUUUACAGUAGAAAGACUAAGGAAAAACACAAGAAAGUGGAAGAAAAAUCCUCCCCUUCUUAAAGUUUUCAUGUUGGAGAGAAAACUUAUUAUGUGCGUCCCAAGUCCAUGUAUAUUUAAGCAGUGUAUUCCCCAUAUGCUACCAUAUUCAAUUCACAAGCUUUAAUUAUUUUCAGAUUCAAGAUUUUAGAAGAAAGAGAGAGAGAGAGAGAGACCUACAUACUGUACCUGAUAUUUGGUGUACUAUUAAAACUUCCACUGCUAUUCCUGUCUUCACCAAUCUUUCUCCUCUCCUCUUCUCUAAAUCUUUUCUCCAAAUGAGGCCUUCUUUUGUUGUUUCUCUUCUUCUUUUGUCCUUUCUUAUUCAUGAGGCUAAAGCAAUUCGCUUGGAAAAGGAAUUUAUGCAAGUGGCGCGGUAAAAGAUUCAUAAGGAGAAGAAGAGUACUUCAUUAACAGAAAGAA